rnacentral:rRNA from 1 species
GGGAAUAUUGCACAAUGGGCGCAAGCCUGAUGCAGCCAUGCCGCGUGUGUGAAGAAGGCCUUCGGGUUGUAAAGCACUUUCAGCGAGGAGGAAGGUGGUGAGCUUAAUACGCUCAUCAAUUGACGUUACUCGCAGAAGAAGCACCGGCUAACUCCGUGCCAGCAGCCGCGGUAAUACGGAGGGUGCAAGCGUUAAUCGGAAUUACUGGGCGUAAAGCGCACGC